rnacentral:rRNA from 1 species
AUUGAACGCUGGCGGCAUGCCUUACACAUGCAAGUCGAACGGCAGCAUGAUCUAGCUUGCUAGAUUGAUGGCGAGUGGCGAACGGGUGAGUAAUACAUCGGGACGUGCCCUGUAGUGGGGGAUAACUAGUCGAAAGAUUAGCUAAUACCGCAUACGACCUGAGGGUGAAAGUGGGGGACCGCAAGGCCUCAUGCUAUAGGAGCGGCCGAUGUCUGAUUAGCUAGUUGUGGAGGUAAAGGCCCACCAAGGCGACGAUCAGUAGCUGGUCUGAGAGGACGGUCAGCCACACUGGGACUGAGACACGGCCCAGACUCCUACGGGAGGCAGCAGUGGGGAAUUUUGGACAAUGGGGGCAACCCUGAUCCAGCAAUGCCGCGUGUGUGAAGAAGGCCUUCGGGUUGUAAAGCACUUUUGUCCGGAAAGAAAUCGCACUUACUAAUAUUAGGUGUGGAUGACGGUACCGGAAGAAUAAGGACCGGCUAACUACGUGCCAGCCGCCGCCGUAAUAC